GGCUGAUCCAAAGGGAAUGAGUUAUUGCGAUUAAUCACAGUCAGUUACAGAAUCACAGUCAGUUACAGAUUGAACUCUUUGUUCUACUCUUUGCCCCCUUCUCACUAUUGCACUUGACUAGUGUUAA
rnacentral:Y_RNA from 1 species